GGAAGGAUCAUUCGCACUUCGAAAAUGAACACUGUGUAACUAUGGCUGAUAGCAAUGCUUUCAGUCCGGCGCUUAGGUGCCACCCUUAACUGUAACAACGGUAUUUUAUAAGUAACAGAAUUUUUUGAGACUCUAAGCGAUGGAUGCCUCGGCUCGGAGAUCGAUGAAGGACGCAGCGAAAUGCGAAAUGCAUUGCGAAUUGCAGAAUUCCGUGAGUCAACAGAUUUCCUAACGCGUAUUGCGCUGUCGUGGGGUUCCUUACGACGGCACGUCUUCCUCAGUGUUUUUGUUCAAUCUACCCAACUCCGCGGUGGAAUCUUCUGCUAGCUGCAGGUGAAGCGUGCUACUUCGUGGUGUGCUCAUAUGUCAUUGUAAAGGUUAUAAUAUCGAACCUAUUGCUAUAUUGUGUUUACUUCGGACGUUGCGAUUGAUGUGGUAUUUCCGCUCUUUCUGCGGCCGAUGUGGAAGCAUGUUAAUGUAGGGGAAGAUUUGUGCCUUUCAGCUAAUCGAACCAUCUAACCUGAGGUAGGCGAGGUUACCCGCUGAAUUUAAGCAUAUUAUUAGGCGGAGGAAAGGAAACUAACGAGGAUUCCCUCAGUAACGGCGAGUGAACAGGGAACAGCCCAUUACCGAAACUGGUUCCACUUGCAUUUCGGUGCUUGUUGAAUUUGAAAUGUGGUUUACGAGAGUUAUCCAGAUUUGCAAUUGGCGUUAAAUCCCCUGGAACGGGGUAUCAGAGAGGGUGAGAGUCCCGUCUGUUCACCGAUGUGCAUGUCGUACGGAUAAUUCUACUGGGAGUCGCGCUCCUUGGAAGUGGAGCGCAAAUGGGUGGUACAUUUCAUCCAAGGCUAAAUAUUGCUCCGAGACCGAUAGUGAACAAGUACCGUGAGGGAAAGGUGAAAAGGACUUUGAAAAGAGAGUUAAAUAGUGCCUGAAAUCGCUUAGGGGGAAGCGAAUGAGGUCUAUUCGUUCUGCCUGGAGUUCGCUUCAGGUUGAAGUCGAUAUCAGUUUUGGAUAUGGUGAGAAGCGGUCACGUUUGUCAGUUUGGGCGGCUUGCCGCUCUUUACGGUGGAGCGUGGCAUGCCUUCAACUAGUGGUCUAGACUGAGGAACCUGCAUUUGCUUGUUUUAUUGCUUGCUUAAGCAGCUCUGCGAUUGCGGUUAUGGCCAUUCGGUUCAUGUCUGUGGUUGUCGGGGUUGCUGGUAUGCAGUUCAAGCGAAUAGAGGAUAUCGGCGAUAUAUGAAUGGCCGCAUUCGACCCGUCUUGAAACACGGACCAAGGAGUCUAACGUGUGCGCGAGUAUGGGGGUGCCAAAACCCUCAAGCAUAAUGAAAGUGAGAUAUAUUCUACGUGUUGGUCACUCUUUUUAGGAAGAGAUUCUCCAAUAGCCGACCUUGAUCUUAGGUGAGAGGUUUGAGUCCGAGCGUACCCGUUAGGACCCGAAAGGUGGUGAACUAUGCCUGAGUAGGGUGAAGCCAGGGGAAACUCUGGUGGAGGCUCGUAGCGAUACUGACGUGCAAAUCGUUCGUCGAACUUGGGUAUAGGGGCGAAAGACUAAUCGAACCACCUAGUAGCUGGUUCCCUC
rnacentral:misc_RNA from 1 species